rnacentral:rRNA from 1 species
GUGUCAGCAGCCGCGGUAAUACGUAGGUGGCAAGCGUUGUCCGGAUUUAUUGGGUUUAAAGGGUGCGUAGGCGGCCUUGUAAGUCAGUGCUGAAAUAUCCCGGCUUAACCGGGAGGGUGGCAUUGAUACUGCAGGGCUUGAGUAAAGUUGAGGUUGGCGGAAUUGACGGUGUAGCGGUGAAAUGCUUAGAUAUCGUCAAGAACACCUAUUGCGUAGGCAGCUAACUAAGCUUUAACUGACGCUGAGGCACGAAAGUGUGGGGAUCAAACAGGAUUAGAUACCCUGGUAGUCC